UACGGGGGGGGCAAGCGUUGUUCGGAAUUACUGGGCGUAAAGGGCUCGUAGGCGGCCAACUAAGACAGACGUGAAAUCCCUCGGCUUAACCGGGGAACUGCGUCUGAUACUGGAUGGCUUGAGGUUGGGAGAGGGAUGCGGAAUUCCAGGUGUAGCGGUGAAAUGCGCAGAUAUCAGGAGGAACACCCGUGGCGAAAGCGGCUCUCUGGGACGGUACUGUCGCUGAGACGCGAAAGCGUGGGGAGCAAACAGG
rnacentral:rRNA from 1 species